rnacentral:rRNA from 1 species
GACGAACGCUGGCGGCGUGCUUAACACAUGCAAGUCGAACGGAAAGGCCCUGCUUUUGUGGGGUGCUCGAGUGGCGAACGGGUGAGUAACACGUGAGUAACCUGCCCUUGACUUUGGGAUAACUUCAGGAAACUGGGGCUAAUACCGGAUAGGAGCUCCUGCUGCAUGGUGGGGGUUGGAAAGUUUCGGCGGUUGGGGAUGGACUCGCGGCUUAUCAGCUUGUUGGUGGGGUAGUGGCUUACCAAGGCUUUGACGGGUAGCCGGCCUGAGAGGGUGACCGGCCACAUUGGGACUAAGAUACGGCCCAGACUCCUACGGGAGGCAGCAAUAGAGAAUAAUGCACAAUGGGCGGAAGCCUGAUGCAGCAACGCCGCGUGCGGGAUGACGGCCUUCGGGUUGUAAACCGCUUUCGCCUGUGACGAAGCGUGAGUGACGGUAAUGGGUAAAGGAGCACCGGCUAACUACGUG